rnacentral:rRNA from 1 species
CUUUCUUUGCUGGCGACCGGCGCACGGGUGAGUAACACGUAUCCAACCUGCCCUUUACUCGGGGAUAGCCUUUCGAAAGAAAGAUUAAUACCCGAUGGGAUAAUUAUUCCGCAUAGUUUGAUUAUUAAAGGAUUCCGGUAAAGGAUGGGGAUGCGUUCCAUUAGGUUGUUGGUGAGGUAACGGCUCACCAAGCCUUCGAUGGAUAGGGGUUCUGAGAGGAAGGUCCCCCACAUUGGAACUGAGACACGGUCCAA